rnacentral:rRNA from 1 species
UACGUAGGGUGCGAGCGUUGUCCGGAAUUAUUGGGCGUAAAGAGCUCGUAGGCGGUUUGUCGCGUCGGCCGUGAAAACUUGGGGCUUAACCCCAAGCCUGCGGUCGAUACGGGCAGACUUGAGUUCGGCAGGGGAGACUGGAAUUCCUGGUGUAGCGGUGAAAUGCGCAGAUAUCAGGAGGAACACCGGUGGCGAAGGCGGGUCUCUAGUACGGUACUGACGCUGAGACGCGAAAGCGUGGGGAGCGAACAGG